AAGCGAAGAUCCCAGCGGAGGGGUAAAGGACUCUGGAAUUGAGGCCUCUCUAACGUCUAAGCAAUACAAAUCUUCGCAGAAUAAUUAGCCAAAUCGUAGGAUGUCUAGAAUUUCUCUGUUUCUGGAACGUCUGGAACCCUUGGCUACAUCUCA
rfam:Morus notabilis contig6973, whole genome shotgun sequence.